AGAGUUUGAUCCUGGCUCGGAUUGAACGCUGGCGGCAUGCUUUACACAUGCAAGUCGAACGGCAGCACGGGGGCAACCCUGGUGGCGAGUGGCGAACGGGUGAGUGAUGCAUCGGAACGUAUCCUUGAGUGGGGGAUAACGCAGCGAAAGUUGUGCUAAUACCGCAUAAGCUCUGAGGAGGAAAGCGGGGGACCGAAAGGCCUCGCGCUGGAGGAGCGGCCGAUGUCCGAUUAGCUAGUUGGUGAGGUAAAGGCUCACCAAGGCGACGAUCGGUAGCUGGUCUGAGAGGAUGAUCAGCCACACUGGGACUGAGACACGGCCCAGACUCCUACGGGAGGCAGCAGUGGGGAAUUUUGGACAAUGGGGGAAACCCUGAUCCAGCCAUGCCGCGUGAGUGAAGAAGGCCUUCGGGUUGUAAAGCUCUUUCGUGAGGGAAGAAAAGGUUUGGGUUAAUAACCUGAAUUGCUGACGGUACCUCAAGAAGAAGCACCGGCUAACUACGUGCCAGCCGCCGCGGU
rnacentral:rRNA from 1 species